UGGAGGCUGAGGCAGGAGGAGUGUGAGUUUGAGGCCAGCCUCCUCAACUUAGUGAGGCCCUAAGUAAUUCAGGGAAACCCUG
rnacentral:miRNA from 1 species